rnacentral:sRNA from 1 species
UCGUUUAAACCAAUUUGACAAUUUAUUUAAAUUAGGAAACGUCUUAAAACUUACAGCAUUGUAUCUUUGAAUUGAUUUUUUUUCUUUAUUUAAAUGUGUACACAGUACUACACUUUCAUUAUACAUCUUUCGACUGAGAGACUAGACUGUAUAACCAUGGAGCAUAUUAGUUUGGAGAAUGAAGCGAGAAGACUGCGUGAGCUCUUCAAAUGAAGAUUUAACCAACGAGACGCCAUACUGUUAGUUACACAUCACGGAGAGAACGCAGCCAAUUAUGUGUUACAAGAAAGUCCAGAAAAUGUUGCUAAAUUUCUUGAAGAGGACCGCACUGUCAGGUUUUCAGAAGAGGAAGUUGCCAGAGUGAAUCGUCUGCUUAUUGAAGGACUGGAGUCGGAAUCUAAACCUCGUCUGUUUGCUUGUCGGAAGUGUGAAAAAUGUUGGUGGAAAAGAGUUCCAACUAGAAAACAGGUAUCAAGAUGUUUCCAAUGUUCCAAGAAAUACGAUCCAGUGCCAGAAGAGGAUGAGUGGGGGCUUGGGGAAUUCGAAUGCCACUUCUGCGGUUACUU